rnacentral:rRNA from 1 species
UACGUAGGGUGCAAGCGUUGUCCGGAAUUAUUGGGCGUAAAGAGCGUGUAGGCGGCUCGAUUAGUCCGCUGUGAAAGUCCAGGGCUCAACCCUGGAAUGCCGGUGGAUACUGUCGAGCUAGAGUCCGGAAGGGGCGAGUGGAAUUCCUGGUGUAGCGGUGGAAAAUGCGUAGAUAUCUGGAGGAACACCGGUGGCGAAGGCGACAUCCUGGACCGGCAUUGACGCUGAGGCACGAAGGCCAGGGGAGGCAAACGGGG